UGGGGAAUAUUGGACAAUGGGCGCAAGCCUGAUCCAGCCAUGCCGCGUGUGUGAAGAAGGCCUUUUGGUUGUAAAGCACUUUAAGCGAGGAGGAGGCUACUUGGAUUAAUACUCUGAGAUAGUGGACGUUACUCGCAGAAUAAGCACCGGCUAACUCUGUGCCAGCAGCCGCGGUAAUACAGAGGGUGCGAGCGUUAAUCGGAUUUACUGGGCGUAAAGCGUGCGUAGGCGGCUUUUUAAGUCGGAUGUGAAAUCCCUGAGCUUAACUUAGGAAUUGCAUUCGAUACUGGGAAGCUAGAGUAUGGGAGAGGAUGGUAGAAUUCCAGGUGUAGCGGUGAAAUGCGUAGAGAUCUGGAGGAAUACCGAUGGCGAAGGCAGCCAUCUGGCCUAAUACUGACGCUGAGGUACGAAAGCAUGGGGAGCAAACAGGAUUAGAUACCCUGGUAGUCCAUGCCGUAAACGAUGUCUACUAGCCGUUGGGGCCUUUGAGGCUUUAGUGGCGCAGCUAACGCGAUAAGUAGACCGCCUGGGGAGUACGGUCGCAAGACUAAAACUCAAAUGAAUUGACGGGGGCCCGCACAAGCGGUGGAGCAUGUGGUUUAAUUCGAUGC
rnacentral:rRNA from 1 species